CCCUCUCACAAUCAGCCUUACAGGCUCUUUUGAUAUUUCAGAGACAGCAGCUGGAAGAGAUGAACUAUUAGCCUGUUCCUCCAGUACUCAUCCCACCCCUUUCAUACCAGACGUCAAUAUCAAAUAGGUCUGAUCAGGCUGUAAAUCAUCCACUCGCUCUCUGAGCGCUUCCUCUGCCACCAAGCGCUUCGCGGAGACGCACGAGUCAGAACUGAUGACAGCAGGAGACUGAGCCCGGAUGUUUUCCCCAUGAUCACCCUUGUUUUCUUUCCUUUAAUCUUCGUCCUUAUUUUUCAGAGGAAAGUGGAUAUUUUUUAAUUGUCUUUCUUCAGAACCCACAUUCCGUCGUCUGCUUGAUUUGAAAUAAACCAAGGUUUAAAAUGAAUGAAGGACGUGGGAACAACGUGACUCAGCUCUAUGACAAGUGGAUAUCUUACAACUCCUCAAUGGAGUCCGUCACUCCCAGGAACAACAUCACCUAUGUUGCAUUUUACCUGCAUCAGCCAUCCACAGCUGCCAUCUUCAUCGUGUCCUACUUGCUGAUCUUCCUCGUGUGCAUGGUGGGGAAUGGAGUGGUGUGCUUCAUCAUCCUGAGGAGCAAAAACAUGCGGACAGUCACCAACUUGUUCAUUCUGAACCUUGCUGUGAGUGACCUCCUGGUUGGGAUUUUCUGCAUGCCCACAACACUUCUUGACAACAUAAUAACAGGAUGGCCUUUUGGAAGCCUGGUCUGCAAAAUGAGCGGCAUGGUUCAAGGGAUCUCUGUGUCAGCAUCUGUCUUCACUCUGGUUGCCAUCGCUGUUGACAGGUUCAGAUGCAUUGUCUACCCAUUCAAGCAAAAGCUGACCUUAUCCACAGCCACCUUGAUAAUCGUCAUUAUCUGGCUUCUGGCCGUGUCCAUCAUGUGUCCCUCCGGGGUGAUGCUACAAGUGACUGAGGAGCAAACCAUUCGAGUGUUACUGGGCUACGACAACAAAACAAGCCCGUUUUACUGGUGCAGAGAGAACUGGCCAAACCAGGAUAUGAGGAAGAUUUACACCACUGUGCUGUUUGCAAACAUCUACCUUGCCCCUCUUUCGCUCAUCGUGGUCAUGUACGCCAGGAUUGGUAUCACGCUUUUCAAAACAGCUGUUCCGACUGAGGGAAAGCCAGGCCAUGACAACCGCCACACUGUGUCGAAGAAAAAGCAAAGGGUGAUCAAAAUGCUUCUAAUAGUUGCUUUGCUUUUCAUUUUUUCCUGGUUGCCUCUCUGGACCCUCAUGAUGUUGAGCGACUACGCCAGCCUCACUGAGCAGCAGUACAGAAUCAUUAACAUUUACAUUUACCCUUUUGCCCACUGGCUCGCCUUCUUCAACAGCAGCGUCAACCCCAUCAUCUACGGUUUCUUCAAUGAGAACUUCCGCAGAGGAUUUCAAGCUGUGUUUAAGUUCAGCCCCUGCACGGUGGACGGACAGCAGAGGAAGAUGUACUCGCACAGGCUGCAGGGAAACUCGGUGCUCCCAGCCAACAACGUACAAACGUCACUGGAGCCCAUUUCUCUCAACAAUCUGGAGAAGACCACUUCUAGGCAACUCCAUCAUGUCACUGAACAGAAUGUGGUCAUGGAGGACCUGGAAAAGGCAUCUUGCAGUAGUGGGGGUGUGACUGCAGUGUCUAUUUGAAGGACAGGGAGACUUCCUUUAAGGUAAUUAUCAAAGGUGUUGACGUUUCACAACAACUGUCCUUGCUCAAACUAAAGCCCUCCACUGAACUGUAGGGCUCAUGUGAAUAGGUCGCAGAAGCUGAGAUUUACAUCUAAUUUGUUGAGGGUAAUUUCAAUACUGUCAAGAAAAUUGGGCUGGGGGAUACAUGUAAAGCAGUAAUUUAUCCAUUUGGCUGCCCUGCACCAUUUGGAAACAACUUGUGGAGAAAAGCAAACUCAGUGUUUUCUCCAGAAAUAAAUAUGUCUGAAACACCUAUUUAAAUGACAGAUCUGAAAAGAGGAAACUCAUUAUCAGUGUUACUUGCUGCCUUUAAGGUACACAGUGUUAUGCUGCACACAGUUCCAAGUUAAAAAUGCAGGUAGGUUGUGCUGUUGGGACUGCACAUAACAAAAGGAAAAAACACUUAAAGCUUUUGUUGUGCUAAGGAGUCCGUUAUGAUCGGCUGAUAUUUGUAGCAGACUAUAGCAUCAGUACUGUACCUUAGAAAAACUAUGUAUAAAUGUAUAUAGAUGCAUCAAACAUGUACUGUGAUAUUUGCAGAGCAGAAGAAAAUGUCCUUAUACUGUAGGUUGGAACAAAUUUCACUCAGCUGCUACUGAGAAUCAGUAAAAAUCAGUUCACAUUAGAAUCACAAUUCACAUUUUUGUGAUUCUAAAUUGAUUCACAAAUGCUAAAAGCUGAAUUUUUGUAAUAAUGGUGACAGAAUGAAAAAGGUGGAACUCAACUAUGAAGCCAGUGCAGCAUGUGGACAGCGCACACACAUUACAGUUGUGUUGUGUGUCUAUGGUCGUAAUGUUUGCUCAUCUUCAGAAAAGGAAAUCAUUUCAGAGUGUUCUCUGAAAGACAAGUGUGGACUGUGUGAGUACUUUGUAGCCCAUCACCAACAGACUGAUGUCAGCGUGGUGGAGCAGUGAACGUGUAAACCAAGAGCAGCUCAGCAACAUGCAGCAGCACUUCAGUCAAACUGGUGAGACAAAGAAAAGCGCUGGUUUCUACAGACCUGUACCUGUUCUGGAUCACACUGGCUUUCUCUGGUAGCAACGCUGCAGCACAGACACAACACAACCCCGGUCUGUUGACAACACAUGCCAGUCACCAAAAACCAGCAGUGGAAGACAUACACUACUCAGAUUGUUUACUGAAGUAACAGUAGCAGUACCACAAUGUAAAAAUACUCCAAGUAAAAGCCCUGCAUUCUAAAUAUUACUUAAGAGCAAAAACGUAUUUGCAUCAAAAUAUAACCUAAACCUAAAAUACUCAUCAUGCAGCUUGGUACAUUUAUAUUAUUGGACUAUAAAUAUUGAUGCAUCGUUGUGUUCAUCACAUUUGAUGCUGCAGCUGGAAAAGGUGGCGCUAAGUUUAACAACCUUAUAUACGUACAAUUUCAAGUACUUUACAUACUGCUGAGUACCAGUAUGUACUGUACUGUAAAGUACUUGGUUUUGAUGCUCAUCAGAACCAGUGUAACUGUCUUAAGCUUUAUUAGCAGCUCAGUGGGCACAGGACAGAAAUCACACAGUAGGAAGCAAAGCCGACAUGCUUUACAGUAUAUACCAAUGGCUGCUAGGAGUAGUGAUAAUGCUAAACAAGGCUAAACACAAAGUUAGCUCCACAGGUAGAGAGCAACAGCUUGAGUGUUUCCAUUAAAUGACAGCGUGGAUAAAACCUAAAAGCACAACAGCCUCCACUCACGAACUGAGUGUUAACAUUAGAAACAAACACUGUCAUGUUGUUUGCACAAAUUAAGAGUACUAGCUUAAGGUUAUUGGCAUUAGUCAUGUAUAAAAGAAAAACCUGCUCUUUCCUCAAAAUACACCAGAUGCUGGAGACCUGCCAGACAUGCUACAAAAAACUCAAAAGAGCAGAGCUUCAGUUUUGCUUUGCAAUUCACUGCAUGUUUUAGGCACCCAAUUUCCUUCCCUCAGAAGCUUCAGAUGGUUUUCUACCAUGUGCCUGUACAUACAUCCUGCUAAUGUCGAGGCACGGAGACUACCGGUAGCCUGUCAUGCUGGCAACACUACUGUUGCUUGCUUCUCAACCCUCAAGCCAUAUAUUCCUUCUUCCAUUGACAAAGAAAAUGUCUUCAAGUAAAUUCAAUUUGAAAAGGUGUUUUUCCACUGCAUCUGUCAUUCAGCUGCCUGCUUAUGCAGCAGAGGAAAAACUAUUACUCAUUUCGGCCGCCUGUAUCCGGGAUCUUGCCCUUUCGGUCAUGACCAUAGGUGAGAGUCGGAACGUAGAUCGACCAGUAAACAACCUGACAAACAACCUGAGCCUGGAUUUUAGACUCAAUCUCAUUUUCAAUUAUUAAUUUAAUCUUGAGUUUAUGUUAGCACUUUUUGUUUGAGAGAAGAGCUCGUUUUGACCGAGUCAGUGAGUUAAGAGUGGCUUUCCUGUGCAACCAGUAUUCAGUUAAAACAGUGGCUAAAAUGAAGUAUGGAAACAGACUAAAGAAACCUAGCAGACAUGAUUCCAAUAUAGCUGCUUACUUCAGAGUAACUCAUGAGGCUGUUAGUUUGUUCACCUGGGUAAAAUUAUUCACGUUAACCAUUAAAUUUCUAGUUUAAUUUAAAGGACAGAACAGACAUGCACUAAGCAGGAAACCAGGUUAAAUUUGCACACAAGUGAAACGGACCAAAUCCAGUUCCACUUCUCAAUUUUAUAAAUCAGUCUUGUGCAACUUUUCUUUCAGAGGAGAGAAAAAUUCUCAUUGUGAUUGUAUGUGAACGGUCUAUUUAAAACUCCAAUUCUAUCCAGGCUUUUAUUCUGAAAUCUGCUCUGCCAAUAUACACAAAGUGUGUAAUGAUGCUGAAUUAGAUUUUUUUUAUAUUCAUGAAUAUUUCUUGAGCCUGUUAUGAAAUGUGCCAAGUAAACUUCAGUGUUUUGCUGUUUUUUCAUAUGAGCAGCCUUGUGCCGUUAACAGAGGGCCCGGACUGGCACCGAUGCCUGUGUUGUCUACUGUGAGUUUGUGCUAUUGAGUCCAAGUGUGGAUUAGAAAUCAUAACCUGAAUUCAUUUGUCUGUGUAAACUUGUACGGGACAUUUUUGUACGGGUGGUGACCCAAAAGGCCGCCGGCUCCAAAGUGGUUUACACACUUUAAAUCUCUGCAGUAGAACAUUUGUAUAUAGUAUCGAAAAUGUGAAAAACAAUCAGCAGCAGCAUCUGCCAGCCAUUUAUCUAACUGCACUUUCAUAAACUGACAUGAUGCAGCCACAUUAGACAUCCUUGGCUUUUCUGUCUGCACAGUAGCAGUGAACUAGUGAUUCCGUACCGUUGAAUGAAUCUUUACACCCCAUAGAUCUUUUCUAGGGAAAACUCUGCAAAGGAGUCAUGUUUGUGUCAACAAGCUGCUAUUGAAGCUCCUACUUGAACAUUAACAUCUUUAAUGAGCAGCCUAACAGACGUAAACCUGAUGUAAAUUCAGGAUAUGAAAACAUCAACUGCUCUGACUAAGGCUGUGUUUGAACAGCGGCUAUGAAGAAAUAGGGUGUAAGACUGAGGGAUGCAAAGAUACAAAACAAAAACAAGCAGUGGAAGCUGAAAUAACUUCAUCCAGAGUAUGAGACAAUGACAGAGACUGGUGAAAGACUGCAUUUACUUCACCUCAUUUAUUCUCAGAUUCUCUGUCAUAACUCAGCACCCGAACAGUGAGAGAAUGCCCAAGCUGUUAGUCAGUCAUCCAGACCCUCGUUACACAAGACUUGGUCCCAUGAAUUAGGUUAUGAACUGUCAGACAAGGAUGGAGACAGCCUCAAUGUAAAUGUGUCAAUUCAAACCACAGGAUUCACAUGGAGAUCUCCAAGAUGGCACCCGCAUGGCUCUAGACUCACAUUCUUGUUCUGUGCACUCAUAUCUCGCUCUGCUUGUGCAGCGUUCUCACAUCCAGCUGUGACACCUCGGCUUCCUGCUUUGGACUCAUCUUAAAAUGGAUUCCUACCAGCCCAGCCACCAUACAAGACCACCGUGAAAAGGAACGUCCUAAGAUGCUGUUGCAGUUUCU